UACGGAGGGAGCUAGCGUUGUUCGGAAAUACUGGGCGUAAAGCGCACGUAGGCGGCGCAGCAAGUCAGGGGUGAAAUCCCGGGGCUCAACCCCGGAACUGCCCUUGAAACUGCAGUGCUAGAAUCUUGGAGAGGCGAGUGGAAUUCCGAGUGUAGAGGUGAAAUUCGUAGAUAUUCGGAAGAACACCAGUGGCGAAGGCGGCUCACUGGCCCGAUACUGACGCUGAGGCACGAAAGCGUGGGGAGCAAACAGG
rnacentral:rRNA from 1 species